rnacentral:rRNA from 1 species
UUUUAUUUGAGAGUUUGAUCCUGGCUCAGGAUGAACGCUGGCGGCGUGCCUAACACAUGCAAGUUGAGCGAUUUACUUCGGUAAAGAGCGGCGGACGGGUGAGUAACGCGUGGGUAACCUACCCUGUACACACGGAUAACAUACCGAAAGGUAUGCUAAUACGGGAUAAUAUAUUUGAGAGGCAUCUCUUGAAUAUCAAAGGUGAGCCAGUACAGGAUGGACCCGCGUCUGAUUAGCUAGUUGGUAAGGUAACGGCUUACCAAGGCGACGAUCAGUAGCCGACCUGAGAGGGUGAUCGGCCACAUUGGAACUGAGACACGGUCCAAACUCCUACGGGAGGCAGCAGUGGGGCAUAUUGCCCAAUGGGCGAAAGCCUGAUGCAGCAACGCCGCGUGAGUGCUGCAGGCCUUCGGGUCGUAAAACUCUGUCCUCAAGGAAGAUAAUGACGGUACUUGAGGAGGAAGCCCCGGCUAACUACGUGCCAGCCGCCGCGGUAAUACGGAGGGGGCUAGCUGUAUCCGGCUGUACUGGGCGGAAAGGGUGCGUAG